rnacentral:rRNA from 1 species
AGUACCGAAAGGAGCUGUGGACUUUUAAGAAGAGAGAAUGCCGGAAUGAGUAGCGAGAGUAAGGUGAGAAUCCUUACGGCCGAAUAUCCAAGGUUUCCAGGGUAAAGCUGAUCUGCCCUGGGGAAGUCGGGACCUAAGGCGAGGCCGAGAGGCGUAGCCAAUGGACAACAGGUUGAGAUUCCUGUACUACAGUAUGACAGAACUGUGGGGACGCAGAAGGAGAGCACUACCUGGAAUGGAAUCCAGGGGCAAGCACAGGAGGGGUACGGCUGGAAAAACCGCCGUGCAACCCAAAGGUGUGACGCAUACCGAACUAAAGUAGGGAAAUGUGUGAGCCGGCUGCCGAGAAAAGCCGCUACUGUUUGUACUGUACCCGUACCGUAAACCGACACAGGUGGAUGAGGAGAGAAUCCUAAGGCCGACGGAAGAAGCAUUGCUAAGGAACUCGGCAAAAUGACCCUGUAACUUCGGGAGAAAGGGUGCCUCGAAAGAGGCCGCAGAGAAUAGGCCCAAGCAACUGUUUAGCAAAAACACAGGUCUAUGCAAAACCGCAAGGUGAAGUAUAUGGGCUGACGCCUGCCCGGUGCUGGAAGGUUAAGGGGAGAUGUCAGGAGACGAAGCAUCGAACUUAAGCCCCAGUAAACGGCGGCCGUAACAAUAACGGUCCUAAGGUAGCGAAAUUCCUUGUCGGGUAAGUUCCGACCCGCACGAAAGGCGUAAUGAUUUAGGCGCUGUCUCGGCAAUGCAUCCGGUGAAAUUGAAGUGCCAGUGAAGAUGCUGGCUACCCGCGCCAGGACGGAAAGACCCCAUGGAGCUUUACUCCAGCUUGAUACUGGGAUUCGGUAUUGUAUGUACAGGAUAGGUGGGAGGCUGAGAAAUGGUGACGCCAGUCGCCAUGGAGCCGCUGUUGGGAUACCACCCUUGCAGUACUGGAUUUCUAACCAGCAGCCGUGAUCCGGCUGGGGGACAAUGUCAGGUGGGGAGUUUGACUGGGGCGGUCGCCUCCGAAAGGGUAUCGGAGGCGCUCAAAGGUUCCCUCAGAAUGGUCGGAAACCAUUCGAAGAGUGCAAAGGCAGAAGGGAGCUUGACUGCGACACCGACGGGUGGGGCAGGUACGAAAGUAGGACUUAGUGAUCCGGUGGUAUUAAGUGGGAAUGCCAUCGCUCAACGGAUAAAAGCUACCCUGGGAUAACAGGCUUAUCACUCCCAAGAGUUCACAUCGACGGAGUGGUUUGGCACCUCGAUGUCGGCUCAUCGCAUCCUGGGGCUGUAGUAGGUCCCAAGGGUUGGGCUGUUCGCCCAUUAAAGCGGUACGCGAGCUGGGUUCAGAACGUCGUGAGACAGUUCGGUCCCUAUCCGGCGUGGGCGUAGGAUAUUUGAGAGGAGCUGACCUUAGUACGAGAGGACCGGGUUGGACUGACCUCUGGUGCACCGGUUGUCAUGCCAAUGGCACAGCCGGGUAGCCAAGUCGGGAAGGGAUAAACGCUGAAGGCAUCUAAGCGUGAAGCCCCCCUCAAGAUGAGAUAUCCCCCGCAUAAGCGGUAAGACCCCUUGAAGACGACGAGGUAGAUAGGGCAGAGGUGGAAGUGCAGUAAUGUAUGGAGCUGACUGCUACUAAUAGGUCGAAGGCUUAAAAAG